rnacentral:rRNA from 1 species
AUGAAAAUUACUAUAGUCGGACGAUUACUCCUCUUGGUGUUGUUGGUGACUUUCAGUGCACACUAUGUGGUCAUCGUCGGCACCUCCUCUUCCUUACAUGGAAACGCGACAGAUAUGCUAUCUUUGCUUGAUUUCAAGGAUACAAUCAGCCUCGAUCCGCAACAAGCCUUGAUGUCCUGGAAUGAUAGCACCCAUUUUUGCAAUUGGGAAGGUGUCAUGUGCAGACUGAAGACUCCACGUCGAGUCACCUCGCUAAACCUUGUAAGUCAAGGUUUGGUUGGACACAUCUCUCCUUCACUUGGCAACCUAACAUUCCUUCACUCUCUAGCCCUCACGGAGAACACACUCGCCGGAGAGAUCCCACCCUCCCUCGGUCACCUGCGUCGCCUCCGAACCCUGCAUUUGAAUAAUAACACGUUGCAAGGAAAUAUGCCUGAGUUUCGCAAACUGCUCAAAGCUCAAGGUACUAGAUGUUUCAGUUAA